GAUGAAGAACGUAGCGAAAUGCGAUACGUAAUGUGAAUUGCAGAAUUCAGUGAAUCAUCGAAUCUUUGAACGCAUAUUGCGCUCUUUGGUAUUCCGAAGAGCAUGCUUGUUUGAGUAUCAGUAAACACCUCAAAGCUUUUGGAUUUUUUAAUCGAAAAGCUUUGGGCUUGAGCAAUCCCAACACCAAUCUUUUUGAGAUCGGUGGCGGGUUGCUUGAAAUGCAGGUGCAGCUGGACAUUCUCCUGAGCUAAAAGCAUAUUCAUUUAGUCCCGUCAAACGGAUUAUUACUUUUGCUGCAGCUAACAUAAAGGGAGUUUGACCGUAUUGGCUGACUGAUGCAGGAUUUCACAAGGGUCGGCAACGAUUCUUGUUAAACUCGAUCUCAAAUCAAGUAAGACUACCCGCUGAACUUAAGCAUAUCAAUAAGCGGAGGA
rnacentral:misc_RNA from 1 species